rnacentral:rRNA from 1 species
CACGUAGUUAGCCGGUGCUUCUUAUACAGGUACCGUCACAAAAAGCUUCGUCCCUGUCGAAAGGAGUUUACAACCCGAAGGCCUUCAUCCCCCACGCGGCGUCGCUGCAUCAGGCUUCCGCCCAUUGUGCAAUAUUCCCCACUGCUGCCUCCCGUAGGAGUCUGGGCCGUAUUUCAGUCCCAAUGUGGCCGUACACCCUCUCAGGCCGGCUACCCGUCGACGCCUUGGUAGGCCAUUACCCCACCAACAAGCUGAUAGGCCGCGAGCUCAUCCCCAACCGCAAAGCUUUCCACCUUCCACACUAAAGAAACGGUCAUAUCCGGUAUUAGACCCAGUUUCCCAGGCUUAUCCCAAAGUUUGAGGGCAGAUCACCCACGUGUUACUCACCCGUUCGCCACUCGAGUACCCGCAGCAAGCUGCAGGCCUUUCCGUUCGACUUGCAUGUGUUAAGCACGCCGCCAGCGUGUCCUGAGCCAGGAGUCAAACUC